GACGAACGCUGGCGGCGUGCUUAACACAUGCAAGUCGAACGGAAAGGCCCUGCUUUUGUGGGGUGCUCGAGUGGCGAACGGGUGAGUAACACGUGAGUAACCUGCCCUUGACUUUGGGAUAACUUCAGGAAACUGGGGCUAAUACCGGAUAGGAGCUCCUGCUGCAUGGUGGGGGUUGGAAAGUUUCGGCGGUUGGGGAUGGACUCGCGGCUUAUCAGCUUGUUGGUGGGGUAGUGGCUUACCAAGGCUUUGACGGGUAGCCGGCCUGAGAGGGUGACCGGCACCAUUGGGCCUGAGAUACGGCCCAGACUCCUCCGGGAGGCAACGGUGGGGAAUAUUCCACAAUGGGCGGAGGCCUGAUGCAGCAACGCCGCGUGCGGGAUGACGGCCUUCGGGUUGUAACCCGCUUUCGCCUGUGACGAAGCGUGAGUGACGGUAAUGGGGAAAGAAGCACCGGCUAACUACGU
rnacentral:rRNA from 1 species